rnacentral:rRNA from 1 species
GGAAUCUUGCGCAAUGGGCGAAAGCCUGACGCAGCAACGCCGCGUGAGUGAAGAAGGCCUUCGGGUCGUAAAGCUCUGUCUGGAGGGAAGAAAACCCGCAUUGGUCGGGCUUGACGGUACCUCCAACGGACGCACCGGCUAACUCCGUGCCCGCAGCCGCGGUAAUACGGAGGGUGAAAGCGUUGUUCGGAAUCAUUGGGCGUAAAGCGCGCGCAGGCGGCCUAUUAAGUCUGAUGUGAAAGCCCGAGGCUCAACCUCGGAGGUGCAUUGGAAACUGGUAGGCUUGAGUCCGAGAGAGGUUAGUGGAAUUCGUGGUGUAGGGGUGAAAUCCGUAGAUAUCACGAGGAACACCAGUGGCGAAGGCGACUGACUAGAUCGGAACUGACGCUGAGGCGCGAAAGCGUGGGUAGCAAAC